CAGCAGCCGCGGUAAUACGGAGGGUGCAAGCGUUAUCCGGAUUCACUGGGUUUAAAGGGUGCGUAGGCGGAUCUGUAAGACAGAUGUGAAAUCCCCGGGCUCAACCUGGGAACUGCAUUUGUGACUGGCAGGAUAGAGUAUGGCAGAGGGGGGUGGAAUUCCGCGUGUAGCAGUGAAAUGCGUAGAUAUGCGGAGGAACACCGAUGGCGAAGGCAAUCCCCUGGGCCUGUACUGACGCUCAUGCACGAAAGCGUGGGGAGCAAACAGGAUUAGAUACCCCAGUAGUCCCUGUCUCUUAUAC
rnacentral:rRNA from 1 species